rnacentral:lncRNA from 1 species
GCACCUCUGACCUGGCUCCCCUCUGCAAAAAUCGCGAAGUGGGUGCCCGAGGUGGGGCGGGGGUUGGGGGAGACCUCCCCGGGAGUCCCCACCCAGCCUGCUCUGCACAUCUUAGUCCCUCAUCCGCUUGCGCUGUGCAAAUCUGUCUUCUGUCAUUUGUAUCGCAAGACAUCAAAAUCCCCAACCAAAUGCAAAUACUGAGACCUCAUAAUCUGAGACAAAGUUUCACGGUAUCCAGAAAGCCCCCAGCAGGUGUGCAGUGCAGAGCCAGCCCCCCAGCGGUCUUCCGCAGAAUCCUAUCAGUUUCCCCCUUUCGUGCUGUGUGCAUCGAGCAGGAAGGGGCUUGGCAGGUUUUACCUGCCCUCUUUCCUUUCUGAAAAGUCUGGGCCUCCUCACCCCGAAAGGAG